rnacentral:tRNA from 1 species
GGACGGUUAGCUCAGUCGGUUAGAGCGUUCGGUUCACAUCCGAGAGGUCGUGGGUUCGAAUCCCUCACCGUCCACCA